rnacentral:rRNA from 1 species
AAAUUGAAGAGUUUGAUCAUGGCUCAGAUUGAACGCUGGCGGCAGGCCUAACACAUGCAAGUCGAACGGUAACAGGAAACAGCUUGCUGUUUCGCUGACGAGUGGCGGACGGGUGAGUAAUGUCUGGGAAACUGCCUGAUGGAGGGGGAUAACUACUGGAAACGGUAGCUAAUACCGCAUAAUGUCGCAAGACUAAAGAGGGGGACCUUCGGGCCUCUUGCCAUCGGAUGUGCCCAGAUGGGAUUAGCUAGUAGGUGGGGUAACGGCUCACCUAGGCGACGAUCCCUAGCUGGUCUGAGAGGAUGACCAGCCACACUGGAACUGAGACACGGUCCAGACUCCUACGGGAGGCAGCAGUGGGGAAUAUUGCACAAUGGGCGCAAGCCUGAUGCAGCCAUGCCGCGUGUAUGAAGAAGGCCUUCGGGUUGUAAAGUACUUUCAGCGGGGAGGAAGGGAGUAAAGUUAAUA